CGGCGAGUGAAGCGGCAACAGCUCAAAUUUGAAAUCUGGCGCAAGCCCGAGUUGUAAUUUGCAGAGGAUGCUUUUGGUGCGGUGCCUUCUGAGUUCCCUGGAACGGGACGCCGGAGAGGGUGAGAGCCCCGUACAGUUGGACACCAAGCCUUUGUAAAGCUCCUUCGACGAGUCGAGUAGUUUGGGAAUGCUGCUCUAAAUGGGAGGUAAAUGCCUUCUAAAGCUAAAUACCGGCCAGAGACCGAUAGCGCACAAGUAGAGUGAUCGAAAGAUGAAAAGCACUUUGAAAAGAGGGUUAAAAAGUACGUGAAAUUGUUGAAAGGGAAGCGCUCGUGACCAGACUUGCGCCCGGCGGAUCAUCCGGCCUUCUGGCCGGUGCACUUCGCCGGGCUCAGGCCAGCAUCGGUUCUUCUGGGGGGACAAAAGCAGCGGGAACGUAGCUCCUCCGGGAGUGUUAUAGCCCGUCGCAGAAUACCCCCGGGGGGACCGAGGACCGCGCUUCGGCAAGGAUGCUGGCGUAAUGGUCACCAGCGACCCGUCUUGAAACACGGACCAAGGAGUCAAGCAUUAGGGCGAGUGUUUGGGUGUCAAACCCGCACGCGAAAUGAAAGUGAACGCAGGUGAGAGCUUCGGCGCAUCAUCGACCGAUCCUGAUGUUUUCGGAUGGAUUUGAGUAAGAGCCUUACCGCUUGGACCCGAAAGAUGGUGAACUAUGCUUGGAUAGGGUGAAGCCAGAGGAAACUCUGGUGGAGGCUCGCAGCGGGUUCUGACGUGCAAAUCGAUCGUCAAAUCUGAGCAUGGG
rnacentral:rRNA from 1 species